rnacentral:siRNA from 1 species
UUACACAAGUCUAGCCUCCUGC